GCUUGAUAAAGAUAGAUCUAAAUAAAGUUUAAGAUUUUUUUAGCAUUAUUGAAUAAAUUAUAUUGUGUGUUUUAAACGUGGCAUUAAAAAACAACAACAAUAAUAUUACAUUUUAUUUUUAGGUGUCUUUCAGGACACUCAAGAUUGCCGUACAAGGUAAAAGGUAAAAAAUAAGUUAAAAUACACACAUACAGAUAAAACCCACAACAAUGUUAAAUUAAAAAGAAUAAUGGAAUUAUGAGGAAGAAAGCCUGUCUGAAUAAAUAUGUUUCAAGAUGUUACUUGGCUGAGAUUGUAAGGAAGUCCAAAGUAUUGUGCGGCCUCAUCAACAUCAAAUUAUAAUCGAUAUAAGGGUCAGCAGGGAUGAAAUCGAACUACAUAUUCACACACAUUCAGUACUAGCCUACAUUCUAUAAUGAAGUGGAACACUGAUAAAGGUAUAGUUUAUGGUUUUUAUUUAAAACUUUAUUUUUGAUGACUGCUGUUAGUUAAAACGUCCACUAGAUGGCAUUAUAUGAUCUUGCAUUGCACUAAAACCAGGUAUAUGAGCGUUGCAUUUUGGGAAAUGAAGAUGCUAUGAACGCUAAUGGAGAAAACGCUAACGCUAGCGCGACCUCUUUCAAACCAAAGAAAAACUGACGAGUUCCAGACUGCUCUAAUCAGCGAAUUACAUCUGAGUUCUGUGUGAUACAAGUGUCUGACAGAAUUGAUGUCAAGGAGGAUUCGGCCUGAUUCAAUGAGGGAUUGAGGACCAAUUUUUUUCAACUUCAGCCAACUGUUGGAGCAUCACCCAAAGCAGAUAAGGUCGUGGAGGAAAAGGCGUUAGUUUGACCAAUAAGCUACAUUGUAGCUUAUGACACAAUUGAAGUGGGCGUCAACUGUUCCUCCGGCUUUUGGCACAUUUAAAUGGAGGCCAGUAUCCGGACGAGUCCAGGUUACCUGCUGAUAUCGACAAAGAGAAGCACAGGAUAAAUUGCCACUCAGUGACGGUAUGAAUGUGGGUGCCAAUGGUCGUCUGUCUCUUUGUGUACCCUGUGAUUAAUCAUUUCAGCGUGCUGCCCGUCUUCCAUUGCAAGUAUUGGUGGCUCGGUGGUAGAGUUUUCGCACGCUGCGCGGGAACCCCGAGACUGAUGCCCGGGCACGCCGAUGCAUCUUGGGGUAGCCUUUGCAGCUAGCCUCGCAUCGGGGCAACAGUUCCGCUAUGACAACGCGAGCAGACCAGGAUAUACGGUGUUGGAAAUGUCCCACACUACAACAAAUCAUUAUUUUAUCCACACUGGUUUGAGUGCAAUAUUGUUGUGGUUGGUUCGUUGUUUAAAAUGUAUAAAAGAAAUAAUGUUUGUUUUGCAUGUGGGAUGAGAAUUCAGUAAAACGGCAUGUGAGGGACUAACUUGUCCCCCCCCUCCACAGUACUUAAGUUACUGAAUAUGUAUAUAAAAAUGGAUCUUAAGCUACUAUACCGAGUGUGGUUUGAUUGUCAAUAUCAGUUUGCAUAUGACUGAUGAAAAAGGUAAAAUUUCAGAUUUGAAGAAGUCCAUUGGAACUGUUUUGAAAUAAUAAAAAAAACCAUCCCACCUUGUUUCCAAUUGCCAAAUAUAUAUGCCUUGUAGACUGAAGUGCAAAUUGUGUUUAUUCACAGAUGCAAGACAGUGUUAAAGUAUAAGAAUAAAAUGUCACAGUAAGGUUUAUUGACCACAUAUUAUAUGUACAUAAUAUAAUUAUAUAUAAGGAAUGUUUGUAUAUAUAAUUUAUGUUUGUACAUAUGAUGUAUGUGUGUAUGUGCAGGGUGAUUCAAAAACAAUGUGCCAAAAUCACACAUUUAUUCCUUUCAAAAUCAUUGACAUAGACUGAAAUGAUUAAUUAAAUUGUUAAUUUGAUAAGAAAGUCUCUUUAUCAAGUAAGUUAACAAAUUUAGUCAUAUCAGCUUGAUUGUCCGUGAUGCUGCUGGUGGUCACAUUGAGCACUUGUAAAGCAUGAAAUAAAAACAAAAAUAUACAAUACUUGUGUCAAUGUAGUUAUUGCCCCCCCAAUUUACCGCAAUGGUUUUGGCCCAUUCUUUUUUUCAUCACCCUGUAUAGUGUAUGUGUGUAUAUAUGUAUGUGUAUAUAUAUACAUUAUUUCUAUAUAUUUAUGCAAAUAUUUUGCGGUACUUCGUGCUGAUUGCAGCUAUGCUCUGGACCCACGUUCCGUCGACAUUCGCUGGAAGUGAUGGUAAGUUAAUGCAGCGCCAGCCGUACAACAACAGACGCCGAAUCUCAAUGACGCACCCUGAGCCACCCAGGUUUCAUUUUUGCAACGUGUUGACAGUUAGAGCUGUUCCUGAAUGGGAAACAUUUAGGAGCAUAAAAAUACUGCCAGCUUUAACUUCACGGCUGGUAAUGACAGUGUUAGACAUCCGAUCUUCCUUUCCAUCCACUCCCAGUCAAAAUGGAUUCGACAUGUAGUACAAACAUGGCACCCAAAAUAUUGUUUCACAUGUGUGCGUGCGCAAAAAGUAUUCCACAUGUAUGCGCGUAAGUGUCUCACAUGUAUAAGCGCAAAGAUUUCACAUUCAUGCGCGUGAGUGUCUCACAUGUA